GCAUUAUUGAAAGUUCAAACAGGAUCAGUAAACACUGAUUAAUCGAUGUAUUUGCUUCUAACGUUGUAAAAAGUCUGUUUACCAACAACGUGUGCAUGCAUUAUUGAAAGUUCAAACAGGGUCAGUAAACACUGAUUAAACGAUGUAUUUGUUUCAACGUUUGUAAAAAGUCUGUUUACCAACAACGUGUGCAUGCAUUAUUGAAAGUUCAAAUAGGGUCAGUAAACACUGAUUAAACGAUGUAUUUGCGUCUACUUUUGUAGCGUUUAGAAAACAACAACAAACGCCACACAACGUUUAAAAAAAAUUGGUUAGAAAGAAAUGCACCCAUAGUCAUACCUUUGACUUUAAAUAUCUGGUUAUGAAAAGGAGUGAAUUUAUCGCGUUCUUUAACACAGGUGAAAGUUUUCAUGCAAUCAACUGUAGUUAUAUAAAAUGUAAAUACGCUCACGGUUGCACUUUGUAAAUACAGCUGUUUCUCAAAACACGCCUCUUUUGGGGAGUAAUUGAAUAUUCAUGAAAAUUAAUUUUGUUUACAUACUGGUUCCCAGUUAUGCUCUCUAUGUUUCAUAUCGCAGAACUUGGGAAUGUUACCAGUAAAUAGACACGUGCAUAUUGUUUACAUUGAAAUCUGUGGUAACCUUUCAUUCGAGGUAGGGGUAAUU
rnacentral:lncRNA from 1 species